rnacentral:rRNA from 1 species
CUCAGAACGAACGCUGGCGGCGUGCCUACACAUGCAAGUCGAGCGUGAAAGUCCCUUCGGGGGCGAGUAAAGCGGCAGACGGGUGAGUAAUACAUAGGUAAUCUACCUUCGAGAUUGGGAUAACCCCGCGAAAGUGGGGCUAAUACCGGAUAAGACCACGUGGCUUACGCUACGCGGUAAAAGGUGGCUUUUUCUUCGGAUUAGGCUAUCACUUGAGGAUGAGCCUAUGGCCUAUCAGCUUGUUGGCGGGGUAAGAGCCCACCAAGGCUAUGACGGGUAGUUGGUCUGAGAGGACGACCAACCACACUGGAACUGAGACACGGUCCAGACUCCUACGGGAGGCAGCAGUGGGGAAUAUUGGGCAAUGGGCGAAAGCCUGACCCAGCGACGCCGCGUGGGUGAUGAAGGCCUUCGGGUUGUAAAGCCCUGUCAUGCGGAAAGAACAGUUUCAUGGCUAAUAUCCAUGAGAUUUGACGGUACCGCAGGAGGAAGCACCGGCUAACUCCGUGCCAGCAGCCGCGGUAAUACGGAGGGUGCAAGCGUUGUUCGGAAUUAUUGGGCGUAAAGGGCGCGUAGGCGGUAAUGAAAGUCAGAUGUGAAAUACUUCGGCUCAACUGAAGAACUGCAUCUGAAACUUCAUAACUAGAGUACGGAAGAGGGAAAUGGAAUUCCCGGUGUAGAGGUGAAAUUCGUAGAUAUCGGGAGGAACACCAGUGGCGAAGGCGAUUUCCUGGUCUGGUACUGACGCUGAGGCGCGAAAGUGUGGGGAGCAAACAGGAUUAGAUACCCUGGUAGUCCACACUGUAAACGGUGAACACUAGGUGUGGGAGGUGUAAUACCUUCUGUGCCGUAGUUAAUGCGUUAAGUGUUCCGCCUGGGAAGUACGGCCGCAAGGU